rnacentral:rRNA from 1 species
UACGUAGGGCGCAAGCGUUAUCCGGAAUUACUGGGCGUAAAGCGCACGUAGGCGGAUUGUUAGGUCGGGGGUGAAAUCCUGGAGCUCAACUCCAGAACUGCCUUCGAUACUGGCGAUCUCGAGUUCGGGAGAGGUGAGUGGAACUGCGAGUGUAGAGGUGAAAUUCGUAGAUAUUCGCAAGAACACCAGUGGCGAAGGCGGCUCACUGGCCCGAUACUGACGCUGAGGUGCGAAAGCGUGGGGAGCAAACAGG